rnacentral:rRNA from 1 species
ACAACUUUCAACAACGGAUCUCUUGGCUCUCGCAUCGAUGAAGAACGCAGCGAAAUGCGAUAAGUAAUGUGAAUUGCAGAAUUCAGUGAAUCAUCGAAUCUUUGAACGCACCUUGCGCUCCUUGGUAUUCCGAGGAGCAUGCCUGUUUGAGUGUCACGU